rnacentral:rRNA from 1 species
AACGAACGCUGGCGGCAUGCCUAACACAUGCAAGUCGAACGAGACCUUCGGGUCUAGUGGCGCACGGGUGCGUAACGCGUGGGAACCUGCCCUUAGGUUCGGAAUAACUCCCCGAAAGGGGUGCGAAUACCGGAUAAUGUCUUCGGACCAAAGAUUUAUCGCCUUUGGAUGGGCCCGCGUUGGAUUAGCUAGUUGGUAGGGUAAAAGCCUACCAAGGCGACGAUCCAUAGCUGGUCUGAGAGGAUGAUCAGCCACACUGGGACUGAGACACGGCCCAGACUCCUACGGGAGGCAGCAGUGGGGAAUAUUGGAAAAUGGGCGAAAGGCUGAUCCAGCAAUGCCGCGUGAGUGAUGAAGGACUUAGGGUUGUAAAGCUCUUUUACCCGGGAUGAUAAUGACAGUACCGUGAGAAUAAGCUCCGGCUAACUCCGUG